CAGCUGGAAAUGUUACAUCUGAAAAGGUAGAAACACCUUGAAUUUCAAUAGGCUUACAUUUUUGGGAAAAAAAUUAAAUGCUUUUUAUUUUUUCAGUUUAUAGUUAAGCUAAAAAUACACAUAAAAUAAAUAAUUUUAUUUAUUAUGUACAUAAUUUCAUUUUUACAUGUUAUACGAGGGUAUGACAUGGAGUCUGCACUACGGACAGAGGAGAUGCAAGUAGAAAAGUACAUAAAACUAAGCGUUUGUUUUUGCUUUUUGCUCUUCCCCUUUUCUUUCCCCCCCUUUCUCUAGGGGUGGCUGUUACUACCCAACUGGCAAAUGCUGAGGUCCCCACUCUGUCUUCACAUAUGCAAAAUUCUUAAAACAUCUAAAAGCUCUUUUGCCUGGAAAAGGCCAUCAAGUUUUUGACCAAAACUGAAGUAGAGGAGGAGGAAAAAAAAGCCUCACCUUUUUUUAUCCCAUGAAGUAAAAUGGCAUUUGAAAAUAUGCUCAGGUGUGAAGCUGUUUCUGUGAUAGCUUUUUUUAAAUGAAGAUUUAAUUUGAUAUUAAAACUCGAUCGCUUAAAAAAACUGCUUGCAGAGUGAGCCCGGGUCUCUGGGGCUUGCCAUAUAGAAAAUAGAGUACUUAAGCAUCUGCUACUAUCCUUUGCUUCCCAAAGAACCCUAGCCCUCUAGUUCCCAGACCCGCCUUAAAAACACAUUCAGUAGUUUUUUAAAUAAGACUGUACAAUACCCAAAAAAUAGCUAGACCAAAAAGUGCCCCCUUGCUCAAAAACAACUAUUUAUAGUCAAAAGGCAUUUCGCUCUGUUGGGUAAAGGUAUCACAGUGUUCUGUUAGCUAAUGUGCUAAAAGGCCAGCGCCUUGGUUGAUCACGUUUUGUCCUAAGCGCAUCGUUUCUUCUGGCUUAGGGGUUACUGCUGAUAUGGAAAUGCUUUAAAUGGGAGAGGAGGGGGGAAAAAAUCCCCCAAAUAAACAAAAUAAUCCGUGCUAAAGGAGGACAUGCUAGCCAGGAGGAAUGGGCCACACUGUUUUCCGUAGCUGGUGAGCCACUGGUUGAGAAGGGUCGGGAUGUAAAGAAAGAACCGCAAGAUCCGUUUGGCUUUUAAAAUUGUGGGUGGUUGGAGCUGGGCGAGGGGGUCUCUAUUGCUGUUACGGUUGUUUUGUUUUGCACACCUUAAAAAACCAGCGCAGGUAAAAGUGUUUCCCUGAAGGAUAAAAUACUGUCAAACAUUCGGAAGAUAAGGAUCAAACACUUCUGCCUUUUAAAUAUACUUUUUUAGAUAAAGCAUUGUUCUCUUUUUCAAACAGUCGGUCUUGGUCAUGAAUUUACUCCAGAGCAGUAGUUGUUCCGAGUGGAGGCAGUUAGGUGUAUAGUAUAUAAAUUAUUUGUUUGUAAAAGUGUAAUGGCCUGAAAUGGGGAAAGAAGUAGUGUGGAAAUGAAAUAGAAUCAAACUAGAAAUGUUUAGAAAAUAUGGUAACAUGGCUAGCACAGAGAGCUCCCCACCUCCUCCUCCAAAAAAAUAAAUAAACCAGCAAGAGACUGACUUUAUAGUUGUUAGCUUUCACGUUGCACAUUCGCUGAAAUCUGUGGAUUAUUUUAGUAACAGUUUAUUUUAGAUGCUCCUCCAGUGAGCUGAUUUAUUAUUCACUGUGGUCUCACUGAUUCCAUUUAAUCUUACCAUGAUGUGAAUGAGAGUCACCAGUGCUCCCAGCACACCUGGGCAGGCUGCAACCAGCUGUGCCGUCUGCCUGGCCGGGGCCACCGUGGCCACCGUGCCGAUGGCCUGGCGAGUCCCUUCUGUGAGGCUGAGGUCCUUACAGCGCCGCCCCCCGCAAAAAACAGCUCCAGAGGGUUUUAAGUUAAGUAACAACUUUCAUUAAUUCGAGGCAGCCCUAGCGGUUGGGAUGGUUUUGGCUGUUUUUUGCCGUUUUGUUUGACUGUGGAUUUGCAGCAGAGGUGGGAGGGUGAUCCUGGUUUUUUGGAAAUCCGCCUUUGAAGCUGCACGGAUCUUUCUCAUGGACGUGUCUGUGGGACAGUGUUAGCACACUGCAGGACAAGUUACCUGCUUAAAGGAGAACUUGCAGAAGUUAAACCAAAACUGAAACUUGUCCUGGUUGAUUGGAAACUUGCUUGUCUUUGGGAUAUUGGCCUUUUGAAAAGGAAAGCAGAAAUAGCAAAGCAAAGCUGAGAAGUCCCAAGGGAAGUGGGACAUACACGUAAUGGUGUGAGAGCAGCAGGUGCUCAUGGAGUUUUCUAACCGCUACAAAACCCAGCAGUAAGUCAGAUCCUUGCUUAUGCUGUUAGUAACUGUCCAAAUACCCAGUGCAAACACCCUGCAACUGCUCGUGUUCCUGGAAGGGAGCUCAGAGUGCUCAUUGUGCCCUUCCUGGGCAAGUCAACUUACAGCUCCCGUCACUCAAACUAAAGACCUUUAUCCUGAGUAAGCGCUAAUGAAAAACAAAUUCCACCUACAGAGAGGGCUGGGCAAGGAGCUCCCCGGCAGGGACACUCCGCUGCCCAGGAAAGGUUUCUCCAGGACCGUCACGCUGGGAACGCGCCGCUGCCCGAGGUGCGUGUCCGGGAGCUGCCUUACCCUGCUCCUCGGGGCAAAACAGAGCCCUACUCCAGUAUCCUGCUGUGUGCGUGUGCAUCGGUGCUGGGCUGCCUGCGGAACCUCCCCGUGCUUAGAAAUCUGUUGCAUCAACCAAUUUUAACCUCUUUAAAAGGUAAGGUAUUUAUACAUGAAUAUAUUUAUUUAAAUACUCUUAAUAUUUACAGUGGCUGUUUCUGCUAAAAAUUAUGUUACAUGUACCAUCAGAAAAAAGGAUGAAACACAAAUACAGUAAAGGUGACAUUAAGGGUGAAACAUAAAUCACGAAAGCAAGGGUGUUAAAGAGUUUAGGCUUCCAGGGUAUGCUGCUCCUGCUCUCUGUCUACUGCAGAAGUCCCCUAAAUUCCCGUCAUGGGAAACCAUGCUAGUUUUCUAUGUGGAAAACUAUCGUAACGGACAUACAGUUAAAUCCUAACCUGAAUUAGUUGUAAGAAAAUAAAAGUACAUACUACUGCUACGAAUAUUAACUACUUAUGUAUAUAGCGCCUUUAAUUUGAAGAUCUGAAAGUGCUUAUAAAUAAUGAACUAACCCCCCCUGCGAGGUAGGUAAGUAUUAUUAUCCCUAUUUUACAGAUGGGGAAACUGGGGCAUUAGAGAGGCUGAGUGACUUGCCCAAGGUCACAGGUGAGGCAGGGGCAGAGCUGGGACUGGACCUCGGGAGUCCUGGCCUCUAACCCUGUGCUCUGCCCGCUGUGCAUGCUUCCUCGGGAGGGACCACAUGUACAAAUACUUGAGUAUUUACAUAUAUACCAGCAAGUGAAUAAUGUACAAUUAUCCAAAUAAUCUGCAGAGAUAUGUCAGUUAAUUUCUUGUUUCUGAAACAAUUGAUUUAAUCUCUGACCUGAGUACAAACACCUCCUAGCUCUACUUGAGAUUCUUAGCCCUGGAUGUUAUUAACUUUUUAAUUGGUGAUCAUUUGUAGGUGUGCUGCUUAAAAAAGCCAGGUGAAAAUGACACCGGGGAUGGGAGGUGGGAAAUGAAGCAACUUCAAGAGCUACAAACCUAAAGAAAGGGCAAAUGGUUGAGAUCUCUGUUGUUCCUAAUUCCAAAUUCCUUGCAUAUGCAUAAGGUUUAUUAUUGAAGUCCACAGGAUAAAGGCCAGGCUAUACCAGUUAGAGCACAGCUGUGCAUCUUGAACUGAGGCCAAAGAAAAGUUUAACUCCUGACAGGAGAAGCUCCAAGUGCCCCACCAGCUCCGGCCCUGAUCGCCUGCACAGACAGCACAGGGGUAGCGCACCGAGUCCUCUGAAGGAAAGAGUAACUUUCACUAAAACACAUUUCCUUUUGAAGCAGUUGAAAAUGGAAAAAUGCUAGUGAAAUCCCAAAUACUGGGACUACAAGUGAAUUAAAAAAACACCCCAGGGUUUGCUUAGCAAAUGUGUUUUUUCACAAGGUAUUUUAAUUUCCCUCCCCUGAAGCUUCUGUUUUAGAGUAAUUAUAAUUCACCAGCUGCUGUAAAGUCUAUUGCUACACCAAAGGGGAUGCAUAGAUGCCACCAAACAGAACUUUGCCUUUUGGGGGACGAAUUUGACAGUUUUGUAAACUCCUGGACACAUGUAUUAAUCGCAGCCAAAUCAAAUAUUUGUGUUAAAUUCCAAAGUCAGCUCAGACUGGCUCCUAGCUGGGAGCUAGGAGGUAUCUGAGUCAUGAAACAAACCCCAGGGGAGCCCCAGCCAAGCAGCCCUGUGACGUACCUCUUGCCUUUAACAUCACGUUAGUGAGAGAUUUUUUUUGCAGGCUGCAUUAUCCCUCAUGCCAUUCAAGUGUGGCAGCUCCUACCCCUGCCCUUUCAGGACGCAGCAGGGGAACGUGACUCACGCCGUUUGCACAGAAUAGAUUUGCGCUGCCCGGUGUCACUUUUACAUUUUUGGGAGGCACCACUGCAGAGUUAAUUGCGUUCCUUUUUGUUAUUUGUACCCGUUAAUGCAGUGCUGCGUUUGGAGGACACGAUAUAAUCAUCACCAGCAGCAGUGUGCUUGCCUAAAAGCCUUUCUGCUGGCCAGGGAUACAAACCCUGCUUCUGUCCCAGCCCCAGCCGCGGUUGAUGUAAUCUGCAUAACCAUACCGGCAUUGUUUUAAUUCUUGUUACGCAGGAAAUACCAUAAAGGUCUGCUGGCCCCAUGUCAAGUAGAGUUUGUAAGCUGCGGUGUGGUUAGUUCACAGAAGAGGUGACUUUUGGCACCCACCCUUGGGAUACCCGCUCACGUCACCUCCCCGGGGAGCAGGGCCGUGAGGGUGACCGCACAAGCAGUAACGAAGCUCUGUCGUACCGCAAGGCCGUUCCUGAGCUCCCGAUCAGGACUUGCUUCUUCCAAGAAAGCGGCUGACUAAUAACAGCUCUGAAGUGGUGAAAUGCUGCUCACCGGCGCAGGGAAGAUGCUGUCUCUUAGCACUUGCCAUACACCAGGAGGACGGUUUGCUUCCGAAAGCCUGACAGCCAUCAGAGAGGCAGCAAAAAGCAAAUGCAGCAGUGGAAUUAAGAUCAGGAAUUUUUACAAAAAAUCCAGAUACAGCUUGAGGGCCGGGGGUUGGUUCAGCUCAUUAGAAAUGUGAAAACCAGACUGAGGUUUGUGUUCGAAGCAGCCACAGCUUGUCUGGGGUCAAUUCGUCUGUGCAGAAGUUGGGAGCAAGGCUGGGUGCUGGGUUCCACCGUCAGCCUAACUGGAAGGUCAAGCUGCUCACUACAGAGGGAAUUUCUUAUGGGAAUUAGUUAAAUAAGCAAAUCUAACAUGUUCUAGCUGGAUGAUCAAAUGGGUCUCUUAUUCAGUAACGAUUUACAAUAUUCAUAUAAUAAACCACCUGAAAAAACACACACAACUGAAAGAAUCAGAGGUCAUAUUGCUUAAAGAAAACAAAAAGCCAGUUUUGUUUUGAAACCAUUUCUAAAACCAUUUUAAAUAUGAUUCUCGGCCUUCUGCUAAGCCACUGCUCACCAGCUGGUUGUGUUGGCGAGGAAAAUCGAGCAGGACGCGGAGCCGAUCAUGUUGGACAGCAGCAGCGAUGACCCAGCAGUGGUGGGACGAUGCUGACAGCGCUGGAGAAAUCCUUUACUGGGCCACCAGUGCGUCUGAAGUCUGUGUGGGGCGAAGACUAAGACUGCAUCUGAAGGGACUGCUGUGGGGUACAGUGACCUUAUAAAUGGUGAAACCUUUAGUAUUUGUGAGUGUAAAAAAAAAAAAAAAAGUAAAUUAAAAAAGGUGUGGAAGGCUAUAAAA